UGGGGAAUAUUGCACAAUGGAGGGAACUCUGAUGCAGCGACGCCGCGUGAACGAAGAAGGCUUUCGAGUCGUAAAGUUCUUUUAUAUGGGAAGAUAAUGACGGUACCAUAAGAAAAAGCCCCGGCUAACUACGUGCCAGCAGCCGCGGUAAUACGUAGGGGGCUAGCGUUGUCCGGAAUCACUGGGCGUAAAGCGUUCGCAGGCGGAAAUGCAAGUCAGGUGUAAAAGGCAGUAGCUUAACUACUGUAAGCAUUUGAAACUGGAUAACUUGAGAUGAGUAGAGGUAAGUGGAAUUUUUAGUGUAGCGGUUAAAUGCGUAGAUAUUAAAAAGAAUACCGGUGGCGAAAGCGACUUACUGGGCUCAUUCUGACGCUGAGGGACGAAAGCGUGGGUAGCAAACAGG
rnacentral:rRNA from 1 species